GCGCGGGCUCCGACGCGGGCUGUGGGACCCCGGCGGCGCGGAUCACCAGUCUUCUGCCCUCGCUUAGGUGACAAGUUGAGCACCUAAUCCAUGCCUGGUAUUGUGCUAGGCGCCUGUAGAACAGACAGGUGCCGGAGGGACCAGGGAGAUACAAUUCAGAUGACCUAACGUUGGCUCCUGCAGGUUCCUGCUCUUAAACACUGGUAGCCUCAGGCUCUUCACUGCACCUGCUCCCAGAGAAGUCCCAGAUGAGAAAAUGAUGGGCUCAAGCAGAAAUUUGCUCUCUUGGACAUUUAUUGAGGAAAUCUGAUGAUGGGGCAUGUGACAAGGAAAUCUAGAGGUAAAAGGUCAUGGAGAGAAGGGCGAUAAAGACCAAAUUGUACUAACACGGGAGGAGAGACUCAGUGCCCAGAAGGCCAGAAGAGAGGAAACAGGGCAGAGAGGGAUGCUGAGUCAUCACUCAUACCGAGUGGGCCCUAAGAGCUUCCCCAGGUCAAGCAGCUUUCCAGCACCUGUGCCGGAGCGUCUAACACUAAACUGACUUGUAUUUCGGUAAUA